AUUGAACGCUGGCGGCAUGCCUUACACAUGCAAGUCGAACGGUAACAGGUCUUCGGAUGCUGACGAGUGGCGAACGGGUGAGUAAUACAUCGGAACGUGCCUAGUAGUGGGGGAUAACUACUCGAAAGAGUGGCUAAUACCGCAUGAGAUCUACGGAUGAAAGCAGGGGAUCGCAAGACCUUGUGCUACUAGAGCGGCCGAUGGCAGAUUAGGUAGUUGGUGGGAUAAAAGCUUACCAAGCCGACGAUCUGUAGCUGGUCUGAGAGGACGAUCCGCCACACUGGGACUGAGACACGGCCCAGACUCCGACUGGAGGCAGCAGUGGGGAAUUUUGGACAAUGGGCGAAAGCCUGAUCCAGCAAUGCCGCGUGCAGGAUGAAGGCCUUCGGGUUGUAAACUGCUUUUGUACGGAACGAAAAGCCCCGGGUUAAUACCCUGGGGUCAUGACGGUACCGUAAGAAUAAGCACCGGCUAACUACGUGCCAGCAGCCGCCGUAA
rnacentral:rRNA from 1 species